rfam:Spinacia oleracea cultivar SynViroflay scaffold10831.con0001.1, whole genome shotgun sequence.
GUGCAAGGUCAUUGAUUUUAGAAUAAUGCAAUCUGUCAUUGAAGGUUGACAAAAUUAAAAUAUUGGGUGAUUCUCCGUGCCUUUCGAACUACUGAUUUUGGUAGUGGCCUUGAACAAAUUACUACAUU